rnacentral:rRNA from 1 species
GUGGGGAAUAUUGGGCAAUGGGCGCAAGCCUGACCCUGCAACGCCGCGUGAAGGAAGAAGGCUUUCGGGUUGUAAACUUCUUUUACCAGGGACGAAACAAAUGACGGUACCUGGUGAAUAAGCCACGGCUAACUACGUGCCAGCAGCCGCGGUAAUACGUAGGUGGCGAGCGUUAUCCGGAUUUAUUGGGUGUAAAGGGCGUGUAGGCGGGACAGCAAGUCAGAUGUGAAAACCAGAGGCUCAACCUCUGGCCUGCAUUUGAAACUGUUGUUCUUGAGUGUCGGAGAGGUAAUCGGAAUUCCGUGUGUAGCGGUGAAAUGCGUAGAUAUACGGAGGAACACCAGUGGCGAAGGCGGAUUACUGGACGAUAACUGACGCUGAGGCGCGAAAGCGUGGGGAGCAAACAGGAUUAGAUACCCGAGUAGUCC